GAAACUAACAAGGAUUCCCCUAGUAGCGGCGAGCGAAGCGGGAAGAGCUCAAAUUUAUAAUCUGGCACCUUCGGUGUCCGAGUUGUAAUCUCUAGAAGUGUUUUCCGCGUUGGACCGCACACAAGUCUGUUGGAAUACAGCGGCAUAGUGGUGAAACCCCCGUAUAUGGUGCGGACGCCCAGCGCUUUGUGAUACACUUUCAAUGAGUCGAGUUGUUUGGGAAUGCAGCUCAAAUUGGGUGGUAAAUUCCAUCUAAAGCUAAAUAUUGGCGAGAGACCGAUAGCGAACAAGUACCGUGAGGGAAAGAUGAAAAGCACUUUGGAAAGAGAGUUAACAGUACGUGAAAUUGUUGGAAGGGAAACGCUUGAAGUCAGACUUGCUUGCCGGAGCUUGCUUCGGUUUGCAGGCCAGCAUCAGUUUUCCGGGGUGGAUAAUGACGGUUUGAAGGUAGCAGUCUCGGCUGUGUUAUAGCUUUCCGUUGGAUACGCCCUGGGGGACUGAGGAACGCAGCGUGCUUUUUG
rnacentral:rRNA from 1 species